UGCGAGUGUUCCAGCCAGGACCCCGGAUCGUUGUGCUCGCCUCACGCCGGCCCGAGUUCGCAGCAGCGCUGGGGGCCCCGGGCCUGUGACCACAAAGAGGGAGCCGAGGGCCAGGCGGGAGCACGGUGGCGGCAGCUGAGGCCCAGGCCAGGCCCCCUCCCCUCAGCCUCCCGCCUGCCCGUCUGCCAUGCCCCCGCCGGCGGCGCCGCGCCCCUCCCCCAAUCGCCAGACUAGCGCGGUGCGGGGGCCGCGCGCGAAGACAUGCGGGAGAAGCUGGAGCUGAGGCUGGAGUCGCUCUUGGGGACCGAGCCCGCCGUCUACCCGUGGCCGCUGCCGGUCUACUCUCCUGAGUUUCUGGGAAGGCCUGGUUUCCCCAAAGGAACGAUUUCUGGUAGAAGUCUGAAGGUCUGACCCAAGAAAAACAAAUCCAGUACAGCCAAUGAAUUGAGGACAAGAAGGUUUCCAAUCAGUUCUGGAGGCUGGAAGUCCGGGAUCAAGAUGUUGGCAGUUUGGGGUCCUCCUGAGGCCUCUUUCCUUGACUUGCAGGACUUACCAGAAACUAUUCCUUAUUUAAAAAUUUGUACAAUUGGGCAUCAGGCCAGAUGACGACACUAGUUUUAAAUUCCAGUGUGCUGUUAAUGGGUUUCUGAAAGAACAUAAAGAUAACGCGGCUGGGACUUGUCGCUGUGGGUGGCAGGUGUUUGGCACCAGAUGGGCCACCAUGCGGAGACUGUUGGGGACUGUGGAAGCCGCCUCCUCCAGAGCUCACCCUGCCUGGGCACCGGCUCUGCAGACCCCUCAGCCCUGGGUAUGUAUCGGCCAGCCCUUCCCCGCAACGGGGCCCAGAGGCCAGAGCCUGCCCAGAGCUGAGUGGAGGAGGCACCCAGAGCUUGCCAGGCUGUGGCCCGCCUCCUCCGUGGACCUCCCCAGCUUGUCCGUGAGCCCUGGAGACAGGAGCGCCUUCUCCAGGGCUGCUGAGCUGCCAGCAUCACCAUGAGCCAGGCGGUGAAGGUUUCUGAGCAGGGGAUGCAGAGCCCUGAUGCGACUGGAUGCUGCACCCCACGAUGUCCC